rnacentral:rRNA from 1 species
UGGGGAAUUUUGGACAAUGGGGGAAACCCUGAUCCAGCCAUCCCGCGUGUGCGAUGAAGGCCUUCGGGUUGUAAAGCACUUUUGGCAGGAAAGAAACGUCGUGGGUUAAUACCCCGCGAAACUGACGGUAACCUGCAGAAUAAGCACCGGCUAACUACGUGCCAGCAGCCGCGGUAAUACGUAGGGUGCAAGCGUUAAUCGGAAUUACUGGGCGUAAAGCGUGCGCAGGCGGUUCGGAAAGAAAGAUGUGAAGUCCCAGAGCUUAACUUUGGAACUGCAUUUUUAACUACCGGGCUAGAGUGUGUCAGAGGGAGGUGGAAUUCCGCGUGUAGCAGUGAAAUGCGUAGAUAUGCGGAGGAACACCGAUGGCGAAGGCAGCCUCCUGGGAUAACACUGACGCUCAUGCACGAAAAGCGUGGGGAGCAAACAGGAUU